AUUGAACGUUGGCGGCAGGCCUAAAACAUGCAAGUCGAGCGGAGCGGCGGACGGGUGAGUAAUGCCUAGGAAUCUGCCUGGUAGUGGGGGAUAACGUCCGGAAACGGGCGAUAAUACCGCAUACUAUCAGAUGAGCCUCGGUCGGAUUAGCUAGUUGGUGGGGUAAAGGCCUACCAAGGCGACGAUCCGUAACUGGUCGGAGAGGAUGAUCAGUAACACUGUAACGUAGACACGGUCCAAACGCCGACGGGAGGCAGCAGUGGGGAAUGUUGGACAAUGGGCGAAAGCCUGAUCCAGCCAUGCCGCGUGUGUGAAGAAGGUCUUCGGAUUGUAAAGCACUUUAAGUUGGGAAGCGUUACCAACAGAAUAAGCACCGGCUAACUUCGUGCCAGCCGCCGCGGUAAUAC
rnacentral:rRNA from 1 species